rnacentral:rRNA from 1 species
CCUACGGGAGGCAGCAGUGGGGAAUAUUGGGCAAUGGGCGAAACCCUGACCCAGCAACGCCGCGUGAAGGAAGAAGGCUUUCGGGUUGUAAACUUCUUUUACCAGGGACGAACACAAUGACGGUACCUGGAGAAAAAGCAACGGCUAACUACGUGCCAGCAGCCGCGGUAA